rnacentral:rRNA from 1 species
GACGAACGCUGGCGGCGUGCCUAAUACAUGCAAGUAGAACGCUGAAGAGAGGAGCUUGCUCUUCUUGGCUGAGUUGCGAACGGGUGAGUAACGCGUAGGUAACCUGCCUGGUAGCGGGGGAUAACUAUUGGAAACGAUAGCUAAUACCGCAUAAAAUGGAUUAUCGCAUGAUAAUCCAUUGAAAGGUGCAAAUGCAUCACUACCAGAUGGACCUGCGUUGUAUUAGCUAGUUGGUGGGGUAACGGCUCACCAAGGCGACGAUACAUAGCCGACCUGAGAGGGUGAUCGGCCACACUGGGACUGAGACACGGCCCAGACGCCUACGGGAGGCAGCAGUAGGGAAUCUUCGGCAAUGGACGGAAGUCUGACCGAGCAACGCCGCGGGAGUGAAGAAGGUUUUCGGAUCGUAAAGCUCUGUUGUAAGAGAAGAACGAGUGUGAGAGUGGAAAGUUCACACUGUGACGGUAUCUUACCAGAAAGGGACGGCUAACUACGUG